rnacentral:rRNA from 1 species
AGUGAACGCUGGCGGUAGGCCUAACACAUGCAAGUCGAACGGCAGCACAGGAGAGCUUGCUCUCUGGGUGGCGAGUGGCGGACGGGUGAGGAAUACAUCGGAAUCUACUUUUUCGUGGGGGAUAACGUAGGGAAACUUACGCUUAUACCGCAUACGACCUACGGGUGAAAGCAGGGGAUCUUCGGACCUUGCGCGAUUGAAUGAGCCGAUGCCGGAUUAGCUAGUUGGCGGGGUAAAGGCCCACCAAGGCGACGAUCCGUAGCUGGUAUGAGAGGAUGAUCAGCCACACUGGAACUGAGACACGGUCCAGACUCCUACGGGAGGCAGCAGUGGGGAAUAUUGGACAAUGGGCGCAAGCCUGAUCCAGCCAUACCGCGUGGGUGAAGAAGGCCUUCGGGUUGUAAAGCCCUUUUGUUGGGAAAGAAAUCCAGCUGGUUAAUACCCGGUUGGGAUGACGGUACCCAAAGAAUAAGCACCGGCUAACUUCGUGCCAGCCGCCGCCGUAA